CCUACGGGGGACAGCAGUGAGGAAUAUUGGUCAAUGGACGAGAGUCUGACCCAGCCAAGUAGCGUGAAGGAUGACUGCCCUAUGGGUUGUAACCUUCUUUUAUAAAGGAAUAAAACGAGGCACGUGUGCCUUAUUGCAUGUACUUUAUGAAUAAGGAUCGGCUAACUCCGUGCCAGCAGCCGCGGUAAUACGGAGGAUCCGAGCGUUAUCCGGAUUUAUUGGGUUUAAAGGGAGCGUAGAUGGGUUGUUAAGUCAGUUGUGAAAGCUUGGGGCUCAACCGUAAAAUUGCAAUUGAUACUGGCAGUCUUGAGUGCAGGAGAGGUAGGCGGAAUUCGUGGUGUAGCGGUGAAAUGCUUAGAUAUCACGAAGAACCCCGAUUGCGAAGGCAGCUUACUAAACUGUAACUGACAUUGAGGCUCGAAAGUGUGGGUAUCAAACAGGAUUAGAUACCCGUGUAGUC
rnacentral:rRNA from 1 species